UGACCAGCUUCAUUGGUUUCUUUCCACCUCUUCCCACUCCUCUCCCCUUUCCAUACUUUUAUUUUUCUGAAGUUUUAAUGGAGGGGACUUUGGAUACUUAUGUGAAAUGUUUUGUGUUUUGUUUUGUUUGGGACAAAGUAUGGCGGAGUUCUGCUGUAGUCCACUGGAAUUUUUGGAGUAACAGAUCCAUGGGCAGCCAUGGAGACAAAUGUUUUACUGCCCUUUGAACAAUCUCAAGAUCUCUGUGUUUUGGAGCAGGAGAUAAAAGUGAAAAGUAAUAAAAACUCUGGUGGAAGUGGAAUGUGUCCCUUUUAAGACAGUCUCUGAGCUGCUGAUAGCUUUGGAUCCAGAGGCAAGCCAAAAAAGCCUCUGUGUAAAUUACCUAGCUGAUGGGGAAAGGAGGAAACUACCCAUAAGUAGCAGCACAAAGAAUCUGGAAAUAAUGAAUACAUCUGGUCAGCAAACAAGCUUCUAGAAGACUCAGAUUAUGGUCGUCCAGGAAAGGGAGGUGAAAAAACAAGUCAAGCCUGAACAUAAGGGGAACAGGUUAACCCUAAGGGGUGUGUGUGGGUGAACAAAGCUGAAAUCUGAAGCUGUCUCUGAGCUAUUACCUGAGAAUAAACUUAAAGCUUGGUACAGCAGAGAAACUAUUGCAAACCUGGUCGGUUGUACAAGAGGGGAAACUGACGCACACCACUUCAUAAAUUUCAUAGAUGACCAGUGAGUGGGGUAAUUCACUAGCCUGUCUAUAGAACAAAAUAAGGACAGCCUGGAGACACUCUACAAGCAUGCUGGCGCCAAUGGAAGAAUAACCCAGAAUACCAUGGAUCUACGUUUUGUGUUGUUUGUCUGUGGUGUUUGUAUUGUUGCUAGCAUGACGUAGGUGGGGGAUGGCUUCAAAAGGCUGACCUGGGGGGGAAAUGUGUACGGGAAUGCAAAAUGCUCAACUAGGAGGCCAUCAUCUGUGUAAUAGCUACCAUGGCGCCUGGAAAUAGAACGGCAACUAAGGUGGGCCCCACAAGUCCUAUGGGAAUAAUGAGAAGGGGAGGAGCUCACUGGGAAUCCAUAAAGGGGUGUGUAAAAUGGUGUAAAUCAAAGAAGAUGUUUGGAUGUGCCCAUCUCCUAUGACUAUGGAGGAGCAGGCUCAAUGGCCUAUGGUAAGGGGUAAACAAUUGGGUGUACUGUGUAUAAGGUGUUUUGCUAAAAAUGUACAUAUUACCGGGGACACAAUUACACCAGCCCCUAACCAAACUACACCCAUCUACAUGCUGCUAUCUGGACUUUGGAGCACAAAUGGAUCUGUAAAUCUUAUUGCUGUAAAUAAUCAAACCGAAGCAUACUGCCUAAUUCCAUACCAAGUGGUUAAGUUGGUUUGGACAAUAACUCAUUUCUCUGUGAACAUUCAGUGAACUUAUAAUGUGGACAAAAGCAUGCAAAACCUGCAGGGGCAGCUUGUUGCAACUGCCAGCAACUAGACACAUUAAAAUUUUAACCCUGUCAAAGGAGGAGAGGCCGUGUUUUGAUGGUGGCUCGGAUAUUGGACCAUACUGCAGUGGUCAGGACUUGGUGUUGCUGUAAAUUGUGUAGUGUUAACUGUACUUGUGUUACGUUGCAUAUGGAGAUAACCUAUAAGUAAUGUAGUAAGCCCUCUUCACCCCGCAGUGUGCAAAACAACCCGGACCCAACCUUCUUGGGCCCACUAUAAUGGGAAGUCUGGAACACUAAUUGAAAUAGGUGUGGUAUGCCCGUACGAGAGAAGGUGCAGGGCACUGUACUACACAAGGGGCAGUGGGACAAAUGAAAUAUCGACACCUUCCACCUUGAUGCCUGGCCCUAGCAGGAAAUGUGUCGCCAUAUGUCCUAUGCUUUUCCAGGGAUAUCUGGACAGGAGGAUCCCAAAAGAAAAAGAAAAAAAAGGGGUGGAGUGUUAGGAUAUAGAUAUUCAGGCCAGUCUGUAAAGG